AAUCAACGCUGGCGGCGUGCCUAACACAUGCAAGUCGAACGCGAAAGCCCGCAAGGGUAAGUAGAGUGGCGCACGGGUGAGUAACACGUGGACAACCUGCCUUCGAGUGGGGAAUAACCUUCCGAAAGGAGGGCUAAUACCGCAUAACACCUCGGGACACAAGUCUUGGGGUUGAAAAGAGCAAUUUGCUCGAAGAGGGGUCCGCGCCUGAUUAGCUAGUUGGUGAGGUAACGGCUCACCAAGGCUUCGACGGGUAACUGGUCUGAGAGGACGAUCAGCCACACUGGCACUGCGACACGGGCCAGACUCCUACGGGAGGCAGCAGUAAGGAAUAUUGCGCAAUGGGCGAAAGCCUGACGCAGCGACGCCGCGUGGGGAUGAAGGUCUUCGGAUUGUAAACCCCUUUCGGG
rnacentral:rRNA from 1 species